GAAUCAAAGACCAGUAACUCAAUUAUCUCUGUUACAGGGACCCUUACAGAAAAUACCCCAAAACAUAUAUAUAUUUGUCCAAGAACCCUCAUAAGUCUUAUAACCCUGGAUCUGAGCGCCAAAGUUGUCCAAAUAGCGUUCUGAUCCAUUCAGUAGAAUGAAAUCGCCAUCUGGGUAAAGUUUUCACCAACCGGCCACGAGUCUGUAGCCAAAAACAGAUCCAGAGUGAAAG